CGAACCGUCCAAACGUUAUUCGGAAUUACUGGGCUUAAAGGGUACGUAGGCGGCGCUGUCAGUCGGGUGUGAAAUCCCACGGCUCAACCGUGGAACUGCGCCCGAUACUGCAGUGCUUGAGGGAGACAGAGGUAAGCGGAACUGAUGGUGGAGCGGUGAAAUGCGUUGAUAUCAUCAGGAACACCAGUGGCGAAAGCGGCUUACUGGGUCUCUUCUGACGCUGAGGUACGAAAGCUAGGGGAGCGAAGGGGAUUAGAUACCCCCGUAGUCCUAGCUGUAAACGUUGAGCACUUGAUCGAGGGCCCCCCCAUAGGCUCUCGGUCGUAGCGAAAGUGUUAAGUGCUCCGCCUGGGGAGUAUGGUCGCAAGGCUG
rnacentral:rRNA from 1 species